rnacentral:rRNA from 1 species
UGGGGAAUAUUGGACAAUGGGCGAAAGCCUGAUCCAGCCAUGCCGCGUGUGUGAAGAAGGUCUUCGGAUUGUAAAGCACUUUAAGUUGGGAGGAAGGGCAGUAAGCGAAUACCUUGCUGUUUUGACGUUACCGACAGAAUAAGCACCGGCUAACUCUGUGCCAGCAGCCGCGGUAAUACAGAGGGUGCAAGCGUUAAUCGGAAUUACUGGGCGUAAAGCGCGCGUAGGUGGUUCGUUAAGUUGGAUGUGAAAUCCCCGGGCUCAACCUGGGAACUGCAUCCAAAACUGGCGAGCUAGGGUAGGGCAGAGGGUGGUGGAAUUUCCUGUGUAGCGGUGAAAUGCGUAGAUAUAGGAAGGAACACCAGUGGCGAAGGCGACCACCUGGGCUCAUACUGACACUGAGGUGCGAAAGCGUGGGGAGCAAACAGG